CAACAUGAAAUCUGAAUAAGAUUUUGAUGGCGACCGGCGAACGGGUGCGUAACACGUACGUAACUUACCUUUUGCUAGAAAAUAGCCUGAGGAAACUUAGAUUAAUAUUCUAUAGAAUAAAAAAUUCGCAUGAAUUUUUUAUUAAAGCAGUAAUGCGGCAAAAGAUAGGCGUGCGUCCGAUUAGUUAGUUGGUAAGGUAAAGGCUUACCAAGACAAUGAUCGGUAGGGGACCUGAGAGGGUGACCCCCCACACUGGUACUGAGACACGGACCAGACUCCUACGGGAGGCAGCAGUGAGGAAUAUUGGUCAAUGGAGGAAACUCUGAACCAGCCACGCCGCGUGCAGGAAGAAUGCCUUAUUAGGUUGUAAACUGCUUUUGUAUAGGAAUAAAAAUUUUUACGUGCUAAAAAUUCUGAAGGUACUAUACGAAUAAGUGUCGGCAAACUCCGUGCCAGCAGCCGCGGUAAUACGGGGGACACAAGCGUUAUCCGGUUUUAUUGGGUUUAAAGGGUGCGUAGGCGGUUUGUUAAGUCAGUAGUGAAAUAUUUCAGCUCAACUGAAAAAUUGCUAUUGAUACUAAUAGACUUGAGUGAGACUGGAGUAACUGGAAUGUGUGGUGUAGCGGUGAAAUGCAUAGAUAUCACACAGAACACCAAUCGCGAAAGCAGGUUACUAAGUCUAUUUACUGACGCUGAGGCACGAAAGCGUGGGGAGCAAACAGGAUUAGAUACCCUGGUAGUCCACGCCGU
rnacentral:rRNA from 2 species